GAUGAAGAACGCAGCGAAAUGCGAUAAGUAAUGUGAAUUGCAGAAUCCAGUGAAUCAUCGAAUCUUUGAACGCACAUUGCGCCCGCCAGCAUUCUGGCGGGCAUGCCUGUUCGAGCGUCAUUUCAACCCUCGACCUCCCUUUGGGAAGUCGGCGUUGGGGACCGGCAGCACACCGCCGGCCCUGAAAUGGAGUGGCGGCCCGUCCGCGGCGACCUCUGCGUAGUAAACCAACUCGCACCGGAACCCCGACGUGGCCACGCCGUAAAACACCCAACUUCUGAACGUUGACCUCGAAUCAGGUAGGACUACCCGCUGAACUUAAGCAUAUCAAUAAGCGGAGGA
rnacentral:misc_RNA from 1 species